AAGCAUAUAAAUAAGCGGAGGAAAAGAAACUAACAAGGAUUGACGUAGUAAGGGCGACUGAACUGUCAUGAGCUCACCGUGUGAAUCAGCACAUGUAUGUGUGCCGAAUUGUGGUCUGGAGGUGCAUGCACUACGGGUGCUGGGCAAAGUCUCUUGGAAGAGGGCAGCGCAGAGGGUGAUACUCCCGUUUGCCUGGUGCUUGGAGCGUGCACUGAUGAGUCGAGUUGUUUGGGAUUGCAGCUCAAAGCUGGUGGUAAAUUCCAUCGAAAGCUAAAUAUUGGUGGGAGACCGAUAGUGUACAAGUACCGUGAGGGAAAGAUGCAAAGAACUUUGAAAAGAGAGUUAAAGAGUGCCUGAAAUUGCUGAAAAGGAAGCGAAGGAAAGUAGUGAGAAGUUGCACCAUACUUCCCAACCUGCUUGCGGGUAGGGCGCUGUGGUCAGCGAGGUUCAUUUUGGUUCAGUUGAUGGAAGGUGCAGCAGCAACAGGAUGUUGCAGCUGCUUGAUGUUGGUUGGACUGAAAAGAACAAAAUGGUUUUCUUUGCCCCGUCUAGAAACACGGACCAAGGAGUCUAACAUAUGUGCGAGUACAGGAGAGUGUUGUUAUCUCCGGUGCGGAAUGAAAGUGACAGUGGCUGGAAUGCUUGGUAAUGCGAGCAUUGCACAGUCCGCCGGCCUCAAUCCCUCGGGAGAACGGUCUGAGUGUGAGCAUGCAUGUUGGGACCCGAAAGAUGGUGAACUAUGCUUGAGUAGGGUGAAGCCAGGGGAAACUCUGGUGGAGGCUCGUAGCGAUUCUGACGUGCAAAUCGAUCGUCGAACUCGGGUAUAGGGGGCGAAAGACUAAUCGAACCAUCUAGUAGCUGGGUUCCCUCCGAAAUGUCCCUUAGGAUAGCUGCGAUCGGCUUUUUAGUUUUGUCAGGUAAAG
rnacentral:rRNA from 1 species